rnacentral:rRNA from 1 species
ACGGGUGAGUAACACGUGAGUAACCUGCCCUUGACUCUGGGAUAAGCCUGGGAAACUGGGUCUAAUACCGGAUACGACCAUUCCACGCAUGUGGUGGUGGUGGAAAGCUUUUGUGGUUUUGGAUGGACUCGCGGCCUAUCAGCUUGUUGGUGGGGUAAUGGCCUACCAAGGCGACGACGGGUAGCCGGCCUGAGAGGGUGACCGGCCACACUGGGACUGAGACACGGCCCAGACUCCUACGGGAGGCAGCAGUGGGGAAUAUUGCACAAUGGGCGCAAGCCUGAUGCAGCGACGCCGCGUGAGGGAUGACGGCCUUCGGGUUGUAAACCUCUUUCAGUAGGGAAGAAGCGUAAGUGACGGUACCUGCAGAAGAAGCGCCGGCUAACUACGUGCCAGCAGCCGCGGUAAUACGUAGGGCGCAAGCGUUAUCCGGAAUUAUUGGGCGUAAAGAGCUCGUAGGCGGUUUGUCGCGUCUGCUGUGAAAGACCGGGGCUCAACUCCGGUUCUGCAGUGGGUACGGGCAGACUAGAGUGCAGUAGGGGAGACUGGAAUUCCUGGUGUAGCGGUGAAAUGCGCAGAUAUCAGGAGGAACACCGAUGGCGAAGGCAGGUCUCUGGGCUGUAACUGACGCUGAGGAGCGAAAGCAUGGGGAGCGAACAGGAUUAGAUACCCUGGUAGUCCAUGCCGUAAACGUUGGGCACUAGGUGUGGGGGACAUUCCACGUUUUCCGCGCCGUAGCUAACGCAUUAAGUGCCCCGCCUGGGGAGUACGGCCGCAAGGCUAAAACUCAAAGGAAUUGACGGGGGCCCGCACAAGCGGCGGAGCAUGCGGAUUAAUUCGAUGCAACGCGAAGAACCUUACCAAGGCUUGACAUGAACCGGAAAGACCUGGAAACAGGUGCCCCGCUUGCGGUCGGUUUACAGGUGGUGCAUGGUUGUCGUCAGCUCGUGUCGUGAGAUGUUGGGUUAAGUCCCGCAACGAGCGCAACCCUCGUUCUAUGUUGCCAGCGCGUGAUGGCGGGGACUCAUAGGAGACUGCCGGGGUCAACUCGGAGGAAGGUGGGGACGACGUCAAAUCAUCAUGCCCCUUAUGUCUUGGGCUUCACGCAUGCUACAAUGGCCGGUACAAAGGGUUGCGAUACUGUGAGGUGGAGCUAAUCCCAAAAAGCCGGUCUCAGUUCGGAUUGGGGUCUGCAACUCGACCCCAUGAAGUCGGAGUCUGCUAGUAAUCGCAGAUCAGCA